UGUGUGGGAGUCAGCAGCUGAGGUGCUUAAGAAGAAAAAGCUUCCAGAACAGCUGUUGCUCUUCAUAUUGGGAAUGAGCAGCCUUUUUCACCUGCAUUGAAGCCUCAAGCAUGGGGAAGAAUUAGCUCAGUUCUUUCUGAAUUCAUAAUAUGGCCCUCUUCAAAGGCUGGACCAGAACCUGUAAAAGCUUGAGGUGACAAAGUAGAAUCUAUCCCAAUUCCACUGAAAAGUAGUGGUGAGAUCAGAUUUGGAACCAACAAGGUGCCCUUCUAAGAUCUGGAUCUUACUGAGGGAAGUCCGGCUCAUACACAUGUUAAGAGACAAUCCUUCCCUGGAGAGCAAAAGCAUACAAGAAAGACAAAGAAGAAGAGAAAAGAAAUAGAUGGAAGAAACACAUACUAACUGAAAUAAAGUAAUCUAAAAUC